ensembl:lncRNA
AUCCCAUAAGACAGGAAGUCAGUGGUCUGGCAAGGGUCUUCUAAAGAAAAGGGGCAAACUUACAGUCAGAAUUGUAGGAGAGAUUGAUAACACUUUGGAAAACAGUGGAGGGUCCUCAAAAAACUAAAAAUAGAGCAAUCCCACUCCUGGGCAUAUACCUGCAGAAAAGCAAAAAUACCAAUUUGAAAAGAUACAUGCACCCCCAUGUUCAUAGCAGCAUUAUUUACAAUAGCCAAGAUAUGGAAGCAACCUAAGUGUCCACCAACAGACGAAUGGAUAAAGAAGACGUGGUACAUAUAUAUAUAUAAAAUAUACAUAAUAUAAUGGAAUACUGCUCAGCCAUGAGAAACCAAACUUUUGUGCCACAACUACUGAGCCCGCGUGCCACAACUACUGAAGCCCUCGUGCCUAGAGCCCAUGCUCCGCAACAAGAGAAGCCACCGCAAUGAGACGCCCGCGCACUGCAACGAAGACGAGACCCCACUCGCCACAACUAGAGAAAGCCUGCAUGCAGCAACGAAGACCCAAUGCAGCCAAAACUAAAAUUAAAAAAUAAAAUAAAAAAGAAUGCAUAGUCUAGUGCAAAAGUAAUAAUGAUGUAUUGUGGAGUUAAUAUCAUAUAUAGAAACAAAACAUGUAAACAAUAGCACCAAGGAUGGGGGGUAGAAAUGGAAGUCUACAGUUGCAAGAUUCUUACAUUAUAGGUGAAGUAUAAUAUUUGAAGGUAGACAGGUAGGUUCAAGAUGAAUAUAGUAACUAGAUAAUUCACUAAAAAGAAUACAUGUUAUGCAAAAAUAUAAAAAAGAAUAACAACUAGGUUGUGUUGCACACAACUGUUUUAUCAUAUUACAAUUAUGAGGCAUAGGGGUAAAAAUAGUCCUGAAUUUUAUUUGGUGGUGUUUUAUUUAAGCUUUUUUAUCUAUACAUAUACAUGAUAUAGGCCCACACUUUUUUGGGGGGACUCUUCAUUAGAUUUUGGAAUUAAAUAUAAGCUACAGGUGAAAAAUAUCUCACACUAUUUUAGUGAUAAGGAAUCUCAUAUAGCCAUGAGAUGUUUAGACUAGUAUUUCCCAAACUUUUCUGUUUUAUAGACCAGCAAAAUAUACUUACCAGAUAAAAAUCAUCUGUAUCACCAACAUUUCAUUUAAAAAGGACAUUUAACACCAAAACUUUUCACAAUAAAAGACUAUUGUUUUGGUUGUCUUUUAUGAAGACCUCACUUUGGUGCACUGGUUUUUCUAAUGAUGGGUGAAAACUUCAGCACCAGCUCACGGUGGCUCAUAAUCCAGUGUUCGUUACCCGUGGUUCUGACCUUCUCCUCUCCCCUCCAUCCCAGUUAGCUGGUUCAUUAGCCAGAGGUGGCCCAGGUGCCCAUCGAAAUACUCCUUGGUCCCUCCUGAAGUAUCUACCACCUGUGCAGACUGUCUCCUGGUUCGCUCCUGUCUUUUUCCAUGUUUCUCAAGUCCCACCUUUUCUUCAAGACCCAACUUACAUCUUUUAUUCUAUCCCCCCCCCGCGAUGAUCCUCUUUUUAAGUGAAGCAUUUCAGAGAGCUCUUACUUGGUUCUUAUCAUUCCUUCAAGAAACUAGACCGGGGCUUCCCUGGUGGUGCAGUGGUUGAGAGUCUGCCUGCCGAUGCAGGGGUUCGUGCCCCGGUCCGGGAAGAUCCGACAUGCUGCGGAGCGGCUAGGCCCGUGAGCCAUGGCCACUGAGCCUGCGUGUCCAGAGCCUGUGCUCCGCAACGGGCGAGGCCACAACAGUGAGAGGCCCGUGUACCGC